UUUGGUACCCUCUUAAUAAAAACCUCUGAAUCUAAAAAAUGCCUCUUAAAAAAUAAGAGAUCAACCCGCAUCUGAAAACAAAAAAUGACCGCGCUGCCCUCCCUCUCCUAGGUCUCGCUCUUUCUUUCAUGCCUCCACUUUUUUUCUUUCUCAUCUCCGCACACCAGAACCUCCCUCCCGAUCCGCUGAGAAAUUGUGUUCCCUCCCCGUCAUUGCAAUCGUCGGCUUCCUCUCCGCCUCCCGUCGUCGGCGUCCUCUCCGACAGCUGCACAUUCGACGACUUCUGCAGUGAAGUUUAAGGCAGCAACAGUUAACGACAAUGAGGUAUGUGUAUAGAUUCAACCAUUGGAGUUUUUCCUUUUCUCAAAAACUUUUUACCCUCUAUGUGACUCAUGCUUUACAGAGAUUUUAAUAAUUGAAUCGAAUUUUUAUUUGCUUAAUCAAGAUUACGUAUAAUUUAUGUAUGUUCUCCAAACUUUUAAUUCAACGAUUCCAAUAGACGUGUGUUAUGAACUUUGAUUAUUGACUUGUGUAUCUUUUGCUAAUGGGUGAUUUCUUGCUGAAAUUGAUGAUUUCUAUUGAUUUGUGCUGAAAAGUUUUGGUUAAUUUUUUGUUGAUAAAAGAGUGAUAAAUUGUAUGGUUGUUUCUUAAGCGUGCAAAAAAUAGGUCUUUGGUUCACUAGUUGCACCAUGGAUUGAAAGAAGUAUUUUUUUAUUUGGCUAUUGUAUGUAUCUUUUGAAAGAACUUAUGUUUAAUUUGGUUAUUGUAUGAUCACUUGUAAUUUUUAUCAAUUAUGCAUUUAUCAUUUAGCACAA